rfam:Flavobacteriaceae bacterium TJ101, complete genome.
GCGGGAAUAGCUCAAUUGGUAGAGCAUCAGCCUUCCAAGCUGAAUGUUGCGGGUUCGAGUCCCGUUUCCCGCU